rnacentral:rRNA from 1 species
UACGUAGGUGGCAAGCGUUGUCCGGAUUUAUUGGGUUUAAAGGGUGCGUAGGUGGUCUAUUAAGUCAGUGCUGAAAUAUCCCGGCUUAACCGGGAGGGUGGCAUUGAUACUGAUGGACUUGAGUAAAGUUGAGGUAGGCGGAAUUGACGGUGUAGUGGUGAAAUGCUUAGAUAUCGUCAAGAACACCUAUAGCGAAGGCAGCUUACUAGCUUUAACUGACGCUGAGGCACGAAAGUGUGGGGAUCAAACAGG